rnacentral:rRNA from 1 species
CCCUUAGAUGUUCUGGGCCGCACGCGCGCUACACUGAUGCAUUCAACGAACCUAUCCUUGACCGACAGGUCCGGGUAAUCUUUGAAUCUGCAUCGUGACGGGGAUAGAUUAUUGCAAUUAUUAAUCUUCAACGAGGAAUGCCUAGUAGGCGCAAGUCAUCAGCUUGCGUCGAUUACGUCCCUGCCCUUUGUACACACCGCCCGUCGCUCCUACCGAUUGGGUGUGCUGGUGAAAUGUUCGGAUCGGCCGUUUGUCGCGGUUUCCGCGGCUCGUGGCUGAGAAGUUCAUUAAACCCUCCCACCUAGAGGAAGGAGAAGUCGUAACA